CGGGAGACAGCUCGGCGAAAACUCUGCCAAUGACAGCGAAAGUGUGAUCAGGGCUCUAUCCCUGAGUGCUCACCCAUGAUGAAGGGCUUUUUACCCNUCUCUACAAAGCUCGGGGGAAGUAAUAGCGAGAGGGCAAAGUCCUGGUUGUCCAGCCCGCCCGCGGUAAUACCAGCUCUCCUAGGUGGUGUGGAUGUUUAUUUGGGCCUAAAAGCAUCCGUUAGCUGGUCAAGUUANUCCNUUGUAAAAUCCACCGAAUUUAUCNUUGGAUCUCGGGGGAUACUGCUNGUCUNGGGGACGAGAGAGGCNAACGGUAUUYUCGGGGUAGGGGUGAAAUCCUAUAAUCCCGGGAAGACCACCAGUGGCGAACGCUGUCANGCUAGAACGCGCCCACACGGUGAGGGAUGAAAGCUGGGGGAGCGAACCGAGAUUAUAUACCCGGGUAGUCCCAGCUGUAAACGAUGCAGGCUAGGUGUUUGGACGCCCNCGUGCCGUUCUAGUGCCACAAGAAAAACUGUUAAACCUGCCGCCUGGGGAAUACCAUCCCGAAAUUGAAACUUAAAGGAAU
rnacentral:rRNA from 1 species